rnacentral:rRNA from 1 species
UACGAAGGUGGCAAGCGUUACUCGGAAUUACUAGGCGUAAAGGGCAGGUAGGCGGUCUGGUUAGUCUGUUGUGAAAGCUCCCGGCUUAACCGGGAGAGGUCAACAGAUACUGCCAGGCUUGAGUAUGGGAGAGGGUACUGGAAUUCCUGGUGUAGCGGUGUAAUGCGCAGAUAUCAGGAGGAACACCGGUGGCGAAGGCGGCAUCCUGGACCAAUACUGACGCUGAGGAGCGAAAGCCAGGGGAGCAAACGGG